UGGGGAAUAUUGCACAAUGGGGGAAACCCUGAUGCAGCGACGCCGCGUGAGGGAAGAAGGUUUUCGGAUUGUAAACCUCUGUCUUCGGGGACGAAUGAUGACGGUACCCGAGGAGGAAGCCACGGCUAACUACGUGCCAGCAGCCGCGGUAAAACGUAGGUGGCAAGCGUUGUCCGGAAUUACUGGGUGUAAAGGGAGCGCAGGUGGCUCUGCAAGUCGAAUGUGAAAUCCACGGGCUCAACCCGUGAAUUGCGUUCGAUACUGUGGAGCUUGAGUGGAGUAGAGGCAGGCGGAAUUCCCGGUGUAGCGGUGGAAUGCGUAGAUAUCGGGAGGAACACCAGUGGCGAAGGCGGCCUGCUGGGCUCUAACUGACACUGAGGCUCGAAAGCGUGGGUAGCAAACAGG
rnacentral:rRNA from 1 species